GACGAACGCUGGCGGCGUGCCUAAUACAUGCAAGUAGAACGCUGAAGGAGGAGCUUGCUUCUCUGGAUGAGUUGCGAACGGGUGAGUAACGCGUAGGUAACCUGCCUGGUAGCGGGGGAUAACUAUUGGAAACGAUAGCUAAUACCGCAUAAGAGUAGAUGUUGCAUGACAUUUGCUUAAAAGGUGCAGUUGCAUCACUACCAGAUGGACCUGCGUUGUAUUAGCUAGUUGGUGGGGUAACGGCUCACCAAGGCGACGAUACAUAGCCGACCUGAGAGGGUGAUCGGCCACACUGGGACUGAGACACGGCCCAGACUCCUACGGGAGGCAGCAGUAGGGAAUCUUCGGCAAUGGACGGAAGUCUGACCGAGCAACGCCGCGUGAGUGAAGAAGGUUUUCGGAUCGUAAAGCUCUGUUGUAAGAGAAGAACGAGUGUGAGAGUGGAAAGUUCACACUGUGACGGUAUCUUACCAGAAAGGGACGGCUAACUACAUGCCAGCAGCCGCGGUAAUACGUAGGUCCCGAGCGUUGUCCGGAUUUAUUGGGCGUAAAGCGAGCGCAGGCGGUUAGAUAAGUCUGAAGUUAAAGGCUGUGGCUUAACCAUAGUACGCUUUGGAAACUGUUUAACUUGAGUGCAAGAGGGGAGAGUGGAAUUCCAUGUGUAGCGGUGAAAUGCGUAGAUAUAUGGAGGAACACCGGUGGCGAAAGCGGCUCUCUGGCUUGUAACUGACGCUGAGGCUCGAAAGCGUGGGGAGCAAACAGG
rnacentral:rRNA from 1 species